CAAGGCCCCGCCCCCACAGCGGCCCUGCCCCACCUUUCAUUCAUUGAUAGCUUCGAGAAACUUUCAGGUUUCCUCACUGUGAAUUAUGAAUAUGAACUAUAUUAAAAUUACUGUAACCCAAUGUGCUUCAUGCACUAUCUGGCAUCCAAAGGAUCCUCUUUCGCCCAUGUUGGGGUUUUCGAAACUGGAAAGAAGACUGAUUUCUGCAGAGCAGCUUUCUAGAUGCAGCCCUGUUCACAUGUGACUGGUAUUUACCUUCUUUCAUCAAACAUGUCUUUAGAAUCGACUCAAGGCAAGAUGCAGUAGAGAAAUGUAAGAGCCAACUAGAGGAGCCAUUUAACUACUAGGUGCAUCUUCUCCAGCAAGUUCUUCAGCAUCCUUUCCAGAAGCAUUCGACAGCCAAGGAAGCAGGCUACGCCUCACCUACUCCUUCCUGGGCUAAAGAUCUCAGACUUAGUUGCUUAAUUUGGGAAAAAUAAAUUAAAGAAGUCUUCUAUCAUUAUACGCAACAUAGAAUAAUCUGUUUAAGAAAUUAUUUUUGAUCCUCCACAUUUUGAUGCCAAUCCCACAUUUGGUAAUAAUGAUUAUAUAUGCAAAUAUUUUUAGCCGAUUAAAUUGGAACAUAUUCUUUGAAACAACUUCAUGAUGAUUUUUGUUCUAAUCAGUAAGUUUAAUGGAAUAAUAAGGUAUUUUUGAUAAAGCACGUGAGUUAUUCUCAAUGAUUACAAGAUCUUACGACAUUGUAAUCAAAAUGGAUCAUUAGAGCCUGGCUUGGUGGCUCAUGCCUGUAAUCCCAGCACUUUGGGAGGACGAGGGAGG
rnacentral:lncRNA from 1 species